rnacentral:lncRNA from 1 species
ACAUAUUGAUCCUCAGUUCCAAACGAACCAUUAUUAAAGAUGUAAUUUUCCUUAUCUCUAAGCUUCAAAUCGUGACCAACCAAAAACGGACAAGAAGCCAUAGCAAAAAACAGAGAAAAAGGAGAAGAUAAAAGAGGAGUUGUCAUAGAGAAAGACAAGUGAAGAAGAAGAAGGACGAAGAAGGAAGAAGAUGAAGGCC